GGGUGCUUAGCUCAGGGGGAGAGCACUUCCUUGACGCGGAAGGGGCCAUAGGUUCGAAUCCUAUAGCACCCACCA
rnacentral:tRNA from 1 species